GACCUAAACCCAGAGAUUUCAAACAUUUUUGGGCAUGGACUACAAAACGAUUGCGCGUAUUAAGCUCCUAGUCAGAGCACGCGCAAUCGUCAUAUCUCGAAAGGGAUAUGGGUAAUCCCCUUCGGGAUUAUC
rnacentral:sRNA from 12 species